rnacentral:tRNA from 1 species
AGGCGAGUUCUGGGCCUGAAGCCACCUGACAAUCUAAUCAGGACUAAACAUGUAGAAAGCGCUCAAGUUUCCUUGUCUGGACCAGGGUUCGACUCCCUGCAUCUCCA